UAUGUAUGUGUGUUCAUAUGUGUGUAUGUGUAUAUGUGUGUAUGUGUAUGUAUACACAUACAUACACACAUACAUAAAUUUAACAUAUAACAGGUGAUAAAUAUGCUUUCCAUAUGAAAAAAGGUGUAUAUCCCAACUUUAAUAUAAUCACAACCAUAUAAUAAUGUAUAUGGCUGUGAGUUAGAAGCUAUUGUUACCUGAGAAUUGUAUUGAAUAUAAAUAUAUACAGGGUUAUUACUGAAAUUAGAAUUGUUGUGAAUUUAAAGUGAAAUCAAUGUGAAUUUCAAAGACAAAACAGCUGAAGUGACUCUUUCCAAUUCAGAUAUAUUUGCCAUAAAUUUAAAAUCCACAUUGAAUUCACUUCUAAUUUCUAACAAUUUUCACCUCAGUAAACGUCCAUGAUAAUGUUUCUAAUGAUUUACUAAUGUAUAUAUUUUUAUGUUUUCUAUUAUAGUUUGUGUUUUAUUCAAUAUUUUUUUUAAAAUGAUUGUUAGUUGCUAUUAUAGCUAAUUAAAACAUUCAUAGUUAGGCAUCUCUAAACAUUAGAACACUGAGGGCCAUCUGUCACCUGCCCCACCCUGCCACGAUAAGAGUACUUCCUCUUUGUAAACAGUGCUUUCAAAAUAAAACCUUUUUCUUUAGAAAUGACUUUGAUGAUGCUGCAAAUAUAAGGGUUAUUCACUAAAGUGAGUUUUGCCGGGAAUUCAUAGUAAUCUCAAAGUAAAUUUCAAAUUUAAAUCCCAAAUAGCCAAACUAAAAUCAGAACUGACUUGGAGAAAUUUUCUAAACUAGCUUCUUUUGCAUAAAUUUUGAAAUUCACUGUGAAUUCUGUCAAUUCUCACUUCAGUUAAUAAUCCUAUGGAAGUGUAGUUAUUGGGGAGAUAGUUCUGUUCUUUUCUAUUUUUGCAAAAGGCAUGCAUCUUCCAGUAAUGGUAGGAAAAGAUAGGUGAUGGUAGCAUUUUAAAUUUGCAUAUUUUUAUGGUACAUAUGCCUCUCAUAGCAGAGCCUAUUAAUUUUCUUAAUUAUGCAAAUAUUAUACUUGCAAAUUAACUAAACAAUCCUGAGUUGCAAUUUUACAUUGUAUAUAGUAUUCAUGUUAUACUUACAGAGCUAUCCCCCCGAAAUAUAAUGGGAUAUUUUAUUGAUGGCUCCACAUAUAGAAAGGUUCUCCAGAACUACUACCUCUAUAUAAUUCUCAAUAUUCUCAAUGGCACCAUUUUCCAUUAAUGGUGCAAAACGUUUGACAACAAUUUGCCAUCUUACCUGGGUCUCUGCCAGGCUCCAAGGCUCCUUGCUGCUCUGGUGGCAACAUCUGGCUUCUGCAGAAGCCAAAAGUCAAUUCAAUCUGCCAUUCAUUGUCUGAGAGCAUCGUAUGACAGCUCUCAGCCAAAUAAUAAAUUUCUGUCCAUAGCAAUAUGCACAGAAUUGACAUUAGACAAACUGAAACUCUUGUUCUGGGCUGGGUAAUUAUGCCCCAAUGAUGCUUCCAAAGGUGGACUUACACCUCUGGCAGCAAAGAGGUUAAACUCCAUAUGUGCAGUGCUUCAAAUAAAAAAAAGUGGCACACAUAGACUCCAGACACCAUGACCACUUCAAAUCAUUGAAAUGGUCAUGUGCUUGAAAUAAUCUUUUCAGAAUUAAGCAUGCAUUUGCAGUUUGUAAAUGAUUCAUUUAGUACAUUCUUUAUCCUCAGAGCCCUCAGUCCCUCCUUCACCCGCAAUGGCUGCCAAAUUGUAGCUAUGAAGUUUGACAUAGAAAAAUUGUUACAGAGAAGGGAUGCCAUUCAAUGUCCCUCUGCAAUUUUUUUCCUGCUUUGUGAAAAACUAGAGCAAAUGGGGAGAUUUCAUGGGCAACAUUUAGUUUAGAAAGUCAACCAGGAAUAUUCACGUUGGGAAAUAAGGGGGUUAAAUACGAAUUGUGAAGUAUUGUCUGAAACUGAAAAAUAGGUUAUUAAUAACAGGGGGAAAAAACAAUAUUACAAACUCUCUAAAGUAAGAAUUAAUCAAUUAAAAUACUCAGAUUUUAAAAUUCCAUUUGAGCAAUGUCUUUUCUAUUAUUUCUUAUUUUCAUGUAUACACUUUGCUUGCUGUUUGGAUAGCAAUGUGCAGAUUAGCACCAAUAAUUAACUAUAUUAUGGGAUUAUGUAGAAAAGUGUAUGUAGUUUUUCUGGCACUUUUUCUGGUGCAUAUUUGUUCACUUAUUUGCACCAAGAUAUUUCUCACUGUGAUUCUUCCAUCGUUUUAUUUUUCUAUUCCAUUUUGUUUCUUUUUCUUGAUUUACACACUUUUACUUCCAAUGUAUAAAAAAGAAGUGCAAAAGUGCACCUUUUCAUAAAGACAAUUUUUCAGCCACUGCCACUAUCUUCCUUUUUUAUUAAAAUAAUAAAAGUCCUUUAUAUUUAAAAAAAAAAAAAAUCAAGUCUUAGUCCUUUUAUGUAUUUAAUUGAAUUAAACUAUAUUACUUUCAUCUUUCUAUUUUGCUUUCCACAAGGUCGAUUUCUUUACUUUGGCUUGAGAUAUUUCCUCUACUUCAUGAACAUCUCUUUAAUGCUUCUCCGUAAACUGAAGUUUCAUAUAUAACCUCACAGAACUAUAUUCAUUUAAAGGGUUUACAAUUUACUAUAGUGUGAAAUCCAAAGUUAAUUUCAAAUUUAAGGCCGAUUUUUAACCCCCAAAUUAGUUACACCAGACAAGCUAUAAUUUGUUUAUAA
rnacentral:lncRNA from 1 species